rnacentral:rRNA from 1 species
GGAAAACUUACCAAGUCCAGACAUAGUGAGGAUUGACAGAUUGAGAGCUCUUUCUUGAUUCUAUGGGAGGUGGUGCAUGGCCGUUCUUAGUUGGUGGAGUGAUUUGUCUGGUUAAUUCCGUUAACGAACGAGACCCCCGCCUGCUAAAUAGGUCCGUGAAUGAAUUUCAUUGACGAGAUCUUCUUAGAGGGACUUUUGGUGACUAACCAAAGGAAGUUGGGGGCAAUAA